GCCCGAUUAGUUCAGCUGGAUAAGAUGUCUGCCUACGGAGCAGAUGGUCGUAGGUUCGAGUCCUGCAUCGGGUA
rnacentral:tRNA from 1 species